GUGGACGCUGGGCAUGGGUGAGCCCAGGUGGCUGUAAACCAUCCGCGUUUGCUUGGAGGUUCGAGUCCUCCCGUCCACA
rnacentral:tRNA from 3 species